rnacentral:rRNA from 1 species
AGCGAACGCUGGCGGCAGGCUUAACACAUGCAAGUCGAACGCAUCCUUCGGGAUGAGUGGCAGACGGGUGAGUAACGCGUGGGAACGUGCCCUUUGGUUCGGAAUAACCCAGGGAAACUUGGGCUAAUACCGGAUAAGCCCCUUACGGGGGAAAGAUUUAUCGCCGAAGGAUCGGCCCGCGUCCGAUUAGCUGGUUGGUGAGGUAACGGCUCACCAAGGCGACGAUCGGUAGCUGGUCUGAGAGGAUGAUCAGCCACACUGGGACUGAGACACGGCCCAGACUCCUACGGGAGGCAGCAGUGGGGAAUAUUGGACAAUGGGGGCAACCCUGAUCCAGCCAUGCCGCGUGAGUGAUGAAGGCCCUAGGGUUGUAAAGCUCUUUCGGCGGGGACGAUAAUGACGGUACCCGCAGAAGAAGCCCCGGCUAACUUCGUGCCAGCCGCCGCCGUAAAAC